rnacentral:rRNA from 1 species
GAAGGGGGCUAGCGUUGCUCGGAAUCACUGGGCGUAAAGCGCACGUAGGCGGGUCGUUAAGUCGGGGGUGAAAUCCUGGAGCUCAACUCCAGAACUGCCUUCGAUACUGGCGAUCUUGAGUCUGGGAGAGGUGAGUGGAACUCCGAGUGUAGAGGUGAAAUUCGUAGAUAUUCGGAAGAACACCAGUGGCGAAGGCGGCUCACUGGCCCGGUACUGACGCUGAGGUGCGAAAGCGUGGGGAGCAAACAGG